rnacentral:rRNA from 1 species
UACGUAGGGGGCAAGCGUUGUCCGGAAUCAUUGGGCGUAAAGAGCGUGUAGGCGGCCAGGCAGGUCCGCUGUGAAAACUCGAGGCUCAACCUCGAGAGGUCGGUGGAAACCGUCUGGCUAGAGUCCGGAAGAGGAGAGUGGAAUUCCCGGUGUAGCGGUGAAAUGCGCAGAUAUCAGGAGGAACACCGGUGGCGAAGGCGGGUCUCUGGGCCGAUACUGACGCUGAGGAGCGAAAGCGUGGGGAGCGAACAGG